rnacentral:rRNA from 1 species
ACGCUCGACACCUACGGAGGCAGCAGUGGGGAAUAUUGCACAAUGGGGGAAACCCUGAUGCAGCGACGCCGCGUGAGCGAAGAAGUAUUUCGGUAUGUAAAGCUCUAUCAGCAGGGAAGAAGAAAGACGGUACCUGACUAAGAAGCCCCGGCUAACUACGUGCCAACAGCCGCGGUAAUCUGAGCGGGCUGGCAAGGC